rnacentral:rRNA from 1 species
UUAUUACUGCAAAGAAAUAUAUAAUUAUUUAAAGUUUAAUACCUUUUGCAUAAUGGUUUAAUAAAAUUAUAUUAAAAUUAUAAAUCCCGAAGUUAGAAGAUCUAAUUAUAUUAACUUAUUAGAAAUAAUUUAUAUAAUGUUUCAAAAUUAUAAAUAUAAAUAUAAUUAGGGGUGAAAGGCCUAUCAAUUCUAAGGAUAUCUGGAAUAAUUUUAAAUGUAUUUAGUACAAAUUGAGAUUUGAGUAAAAAAAUGUUAAGAUUUUUUUAAUUAUAGAAUAUUAAAUUAAAUAUUUUAUAUGAGUUAAUCCUCUAAUAUUAAUCUAUUAAAAUAAUUUAAUAUUAAAUAUAUCUAUAUAUUAAAAUUAUAUUUAAAUUUAAUUAAAUUAAAAAUUAACUAUGUUAAAAUUAGUAUAUACUUUUUAUUUUAUUAAGGAACUCGGCUAAUUAUUAUUCACCUGUUUAUCAAAAACAUAGUCUUAUGUAUUUAUAUAAGGUGAAACCUGCCCACUGAUGUUAAAUUUAAUGGCCGCAGUACCUUGACUGUGCUAAGGUAGCAUAAUAAAUUGACUUUUAAUUGGGGCCUUGAAUGAAUGGAUAAAUGGAUAAUUUCUGUCUCAAUAAAAAUUUUAUAAGUUGCUUAAAAGGUGAAAAUUCCUUUAAAUAAAUUAAAUAGACAAGAAGACCCUAGGAGUUUUUAAUUUUGUUGGGGCGACAGUAUAGCAUUAUAACCUAUAUAUAAAUAUUUUUAUAAAACGAAUAAUUUUAAUAAUAAAUAAACUACCCUAGGGAUAACAGCAUAAUUUAAUUUUAAGUUUGUGACCUCGAUGUUGGACUAGGGACUUUUAAAGCUAACAGUGUUAAUUGACAGUUCUGUUCGA